CCUCUGCCGCCCGCGCACCUCCCCAAACCAGAUCGACACGCCGUCGUCGCCGCCCCUUCCUCCCCCAGCCCCGACCACCCCCCUUCGGCCACCCCCACCCGCUCCUUCCUUCCUCCCUCGGGGCGCUCGAAGAUCCCGUGCUCGCUGCGCCUCCUCUACUCCAACCUUCUCCGAUUGGAGCUAAAUCAAAUGGCCGGAAAUCCCUCCCCACCGCGCCGCCCCCACCCUCUCCUCGUCCCCUCCCCUCAUCACAAGAUAAGAGAAGAGAAGAGGGAGAUCGAUCAAUCGAGCGAGCGAGCAGGUCAGGAGGCGGCCCAGAUUCGCAGUGGCCGCCCAUGACCUCGACGGAGGUCGGCUCAAUCGCUCGCCCGCGCGCCGGGACAAGUCCUCCGACGAUGUGGUCAUCAAGGGCCUCAAGGCAACCCUGCUUCCCCCCAUCUGCUUCUGCUCUGCUGUGCUCGUCCGUGCGGCCGCCAAGGGCAACCCAUGCAUGGAGCUUCCUCCGACUUCUCCGUCAGUAGGCAGGUCAUGGCACGCGUCAGACAUCGCCAGCGUCAGACAUCACCAGCUCCUCGUCGGCUUCCCCUGCCCGCGCCUCUGCUCUCUCAUGUCUACCCUGAGGGGACUCACAUCGUCAUCCCCUGGUUCAAGAGGCCCAUCAUCUAUGAUGUCCGUGCGUGACCUAACCUUGUCGAGAGCACCUCCGAGAGCCGGGAUCUCCAGAUGACUUGUGGUGAAGAAGAGCAAGGCCAAGAAAGACUCCAACAAGCCCAAGCGCCCCCUGAGCGCCGUCUUAGUCCUCAUGUAGAGGCUGAUGGCGAGACGGAGGCGCGCCCUGAUUUGCUCGUGCAAGCCCAAACAGGGAUCUCGCCGUGGCAAUGCCACAGCCGCGGCACGAGCUAGAUCACCAUGGCGAUGCACAUCACAAGACCCCGCUGUUGGAUUCAUUUCUCUGCAGGUCACACUGUUGUUUUGCUGUGGUUGAUAAACCUGAGACUUCUUUCUAUUCUUCAAGACAAUUUUGUUUAGGCCAGCCAUGGAGCAGAAAGAAUGGACAUCGCUACUUCAGCAAGAGGGAAGAGCCGAAGGGGCCAUGAUGCUUACCUUGUUGGAGCGCAUCAACCCCGACCAUGGCACCACAUUCACAGUCUUGAGGUAGCCGUGCUGCAACUGCAUCAACGCUAUCUUCUCUGACUAGAUAAGUCUUUGGUCUAUCCCAUUAUUUUCUUUUGUUCUUUGUUCGAUGGGCCAUGAUGCCAUGACAUAUACUAUUGUGUUGAUUCCCUAUGUGAUGCAGAAGCUAUGGUGUUUUGUUUUAAGUCUGUUGUAGAUUGUAAUUGAUACUGAUUUGUGUAAAAUUUGGUGUAGAACAUAUGUCUUGUUAUCUUAAAUCGUUUGUGUCGUGCUCAAUGAACCA